AAAAAUGUCCACUAUCUGCCUCUAUUGAUUGAUACUGGUAUCAUGUCUCUAUCUUACAGCUGAAGAAAGUUAUUACAAAAAAAAGGUUAAUUUUGGACAUGCAAUUCCCUUUUCUAACAGUAGGGGUAAAAACAAUGGUUGUGAAACAUGUCCAAUGUGCCCCUCUAUUGACUGUCACUUGUCUCAUGUCUCCAUCAUCCUGCUGGUGAAAGUUAUUACAAAAAGAAGGAUCAUUUUGGACAUGCAAUUCCCUAAUCAGCCACUUGGAGUAAAAUAAGAGUUUGUGAAAAAUGCCCACUGUCCCCCUCUAUUGAUGGACACCAGUUUUAUGUCUCUAUCUUUCUGCUGAAGAAAGUUAUUACAAAAAGAAAAUUAAUUUUGGACAUACAGUUUCCUAAUCAGCCACUUGGGGUAAAAUAAGAGAUUGUGAAAAAUGUCCACUGUCCCCUUCUAUUGAUUGACACUGGUUUCAUGUCUCUGUCUCCCUGCUGAAGAAAGUUAUUACAAAAAGAAGGUUAAUUUUGGACAUGCAAUUCCCUAAUCAGCCACUUGAGGUAAAAAAGGGGGUUGUGAAAAAUGUCCACUGUCCUCCUCUAUUGACUGACACUGGUUUUAUGUCUCUAUCUUCCUGUAGACCAAAGUUAUUACAAAAAGAAUGUUAAUUUUGGACAUGCAAUUCCCUUUUCUGCCUGUAGGGGUGAAACAGAGGUUGUGAAAAAUGUCCACUGUUCCCCACUAUUGAUUGACACUGUUCUCAUGUCUAUAUGCCCUUUAACUAGAAAGCUAUUACAAAAACACCGCCUACUGAGCUAUAGCAAAAAACGAAGAAAACUUGCACUUUCCACAUGGUCCCUAACUGAAGGCUCUGCUGAGAGAGAGCUCUCCCAGCUUAAUGCACAUUGCGACGGAUUGCACGGGGUCGUGCUUAUGACAUCGAGGGAAAAUAUAGAAAAAGAAGUCUGUGAAACAUGAUCAACUUUGUCCUUUUUACUGCCACCCUGUUUAGUUUUUUUUAGGGCAAUUCGUUU
ensembl:lncRNA